ensembl:lncRNA
GGCUUCUCAUGACAGAAACCUUCUUGUUCUUUGUGAGGAAUCUGUUGUCAGAAAAUCUCUCUCUUCUUCAGCAUGAAGAAUCUGUUGUCAGAAACCUAAUCUCAUGGUUGUUCAUCCCUAUUUUCUUAUCCUUCUUCUGCCAGCAUGACAUUCCUGGGUGCUUGGGUAAGAGUCGUGUGCAGUACCCCCUGAGAUGGCUAUCUCCCUCGAGAGUUCAAGGCCUCAUUCGUUUGUUGAGUUUGUACCAAAAGAAAGAGAAGAGAAGAGAAGAGAAGAGAAGAGAAGAGAAGAGAAGAGAAGAGAAGAGAAGAGAAGAGAAGAGAAGAGAAGAGAAGAGAAGAAAAGAAAAGAAAAGAAAAGAAAAGAAAAGAAAAGAAAAGAAAAGAAAAGAAAAGAAAAGAAAAGAAAAGAAAAGAAAAGAAAAGAAAAGAAAAGAAAAGAAAAGAAAAGAAAAGGGACUCUAAAUUCUUAAACAAUGUGAAAAAAAAUUCACAUCUUUAUAAUUUGUGAAAAUACCAAGUAUUUGGACCUCUGAGGAACCAGAGGAGAUUACUGAAGUUUCCACCAAUCUUUUCUGUGUGUUUUCAAAUUUUACAUAUAGCUGUAUUAACUCAUCCAGUCUCAGUUUGGCCAGGAUGCUCUUUUAUUUUCACCAAUGGAGCUUAUGCAAGUAUUUCUUGCCAAAAGUAACAAAACAUGAG